GGACUGUAGCUCAGUGGUAGAGCGCUUGCCUAGCAUGUGUGAGGCCCUGGGUUUGAUCCUCAGCACCA
rnacentral:tRNA from 1 species